rnacentral:snoRNA from 1 species
UUUCGAUGAUGAAGAAUUUUCCAUUCAUUUGCGGUUUCCACCAGAGAGUUCUUGAACUCGAAGAUGGCUUUUGACCUUCCUUGGAUGUCUGAGUAA